GUCGAUCUCAGAGACCAUAAGAGCUAGAGACUUCAAACUUGAUUUUGAGACCUGGGUCACUUCCCUGCUUGCCAUAGGCGCUAUUCUGGGCAGCAUUGCCAUGAUUUAGCCUCGGACGCAAUCGGUUUUAUUUUGUAGCUCCAAUGCACAUAUUGAAGAUUGUCGAGCCGAUUCUUCGAGAGAAUACUUCCAGCUGUAUUUGGUUAUAUUAUGGAUUGGACAGUGCCUUGGGGAACUUCAAGGAUGAUGUGCUUCCUUAUGCCCACUUUUCUUUUCGUUGGAGACAUAUGGUCAUCUACUUAAGAAGGAUCGCUGGACGGAAGAGGAGACAUCGAUUCUCAUUGUACCAUUCAGGACAUCAUUCAUCGACCCAGCUGUUGAUGCUUUUCCGGCAGUUCUCGGAUAGUUCAUUUUCAUUUGCGUGGUCCAGGUGCUCAUUGUAUAUCUGCCCUUGAUAUGCCAAGGAGAGCGGCCAGCUGGAGGCCCUUCUCUGCAUAGUUUUAUU